rnacentral:lncRNA from 1 species
CCGCAGGCCUUUUGGAGAUUCUGAUUAAGGAGGUCUGGGAUGGGGCAGGAGUAACAAUACUUUUUGAAUGAUUCACAAUGAGAUGUACAAACUGUGCUUGAAAAUCACUGGGAUGGCUUAAUGUGUGAGAACGCAAUAAAAACAUUUAGUGUUUACACCUAUUAUGAAUAGUUAACAGGCACACAAUAUUAUCAUUCAUAGAACAUCCUAUGACAAAGAACAGACUUUAUAUAUCUCUCUAUAGUAUAGUGGAACUCUUUCCUUUGCAAAGAUCCUGCAAAGCUGCCUUUAACUCUUUUGAUAUUUCAUAUUGAUUAAAUAUUUCUGAAUUCUCUUGUGAUAGGUCAAAAAAUUGAGGAAGACAUAAUUAGCAGCUGAAGAAUGACUCAGAUCAUCAGUAGUGAAUAAGAAUGAUUAGGGGGAAAUGUAAGUGACAGGAACAAUGCCCUGAAGCAGUGGGGAGAAAGAAGUACUGAACAUUGCCUGAGUUCCAUGUGUGAAGAAUAUUCUGUUUUGUUGUUGUUGUUAUUCUCAUGGGAAAAUUCUACUGAUAGAGUUGUGUCAAAAAUUUUAAAGUUUUUAAGCCAUUCCUAUAAUCUUGGCAAUUAGACCAGUUGAAUAUGAUUUUUUUUCUUUUUCCAAAAUAAUAGUCAUGCAAUAGUUUAUGAGUGUUAUUAUCUGGCAUCAUGCUAACAGUUAGUGCAAUUCUUCCUGGAAGGAAGACCUAUAGAGAUUAAACAAUGUUUAGGCCCCAGUAAGUUAAAUUAUUCCCUUUCCGACAGACACCCUAUAUGGAGAAGGCAAAUUAAAAAGGAAGUAAGGUAGCUAUUAGUUGAUAUCCAAUUUUCUUCAAAUCUUCUAAAGUGUGUUUUCAUAUUUUCUGGAGAUGUGUGGGAAAAUUGAGCUCUGACUCAGAUCCAACUCAAAGCCUGUGCAAGCAUGAGAGGCUAAGUAGUUUCCUGCGAAGCUCUGCACUACCAACCUCUGUUUAAUUUGUUUUCUUAUGUUAUAUCUCAGAGUACAAUAUUAUUAUGAUUUGGCAGAAAACCUUGAUCUGUUAGUAAUUAGGCAUACCACUAAAGUGAACAUGGGUUGGUUGCCAGGCAAUUGUUCUGCAUUUCACAAUGACUUGUAUACUCAAGAGAAUAAAUUAUAUCCAAGCAGGGACCACAAAACAGGGGUUUCUGACAGGCUAGGGUAGAAGGUGAAAACACACACACACAGACACACACACACACACAUCAGAAUAGCAAAAACAAAUCCCAAAGGAGCAUUUCAUUGAGGUUCUCUGAAAUCUUAUGAACACUGGCCCUAGUUUGACUGGAUAGGAAGAUGCAAGACAGUGAGAACUAUUGAAGAAGGGUUUCUUUAGCAUGGAUUAGUGGUCAGGUGCAUGCUGAUCCUAGGGUGAUGAUGAUAAAUUUUAAUGAAGAAAAUUUUCUGAAACCCCUUUAGUAACACAAUGUCAAUAGGCACUGUCUACUAGUGAACAAGAAUGAGAGAGUCUCUAAAUUUAAAUUUGGUGAAACAGUAAAGUCAUAAUUUUGAUAAGUGAGAAUUGCUGUUAAAGGUAAAGGUAGUGUGAGGUCAAAAAUAGAUAUUCAAAAAAUUUAGAAAGAGAAACUCCAAAAACACACUUAUUGGAAGUGUUAAACUUAGGCAAUAAGUAUAUGAUAGGAUCCAAGAUUGUAGUCUAGCCUCCACUACUGAAAACCUACAAAAAACCUUUAAAAUGCAUUAUGUCAUUUAGUAUUUACAGUAAUCUUGAAAACAGGUAAGACCAUUAUAAUUUCCAUUUUAUUGAAUUUUACUUUUUUAACACCAGGGAACAUGUGUUUAAUACAUGAAGGAACGUGUCAGAGAGAUUAAGAACUUGCCCAUGGUGACACAGCAGGGGAUGGGGCUUGGUGGAUUUAGUUUAGAGUUUCAAAUUCACAUAUUUUCUAAUGAAACAAAAACUCAGAAUGAAACUUGAUGCAUACAAUCUGGAAUGAGUGAAACAUUUUGCUCUAAACUAUUUCAUGAAAAGAAAAAUUUCAUAUAAUUCUGGUAAAUAAUAAUGUUCUCCAACAAGGCUGCUUACCGAGCAAUAAUGCUUAUUGCAUAUCCAAUAUCUUUAGAAAAAGGGCAAAUGUAGAAUGUAUUUAUUAUAGAAUCAUUAGCUUUUUGAAACAAUAAUUACUUUACUUGGUAGCAUACAUUUUUACUUUUGAGAGACUUAUUGAUGGGAGCCAAUGGGAAAGAUGUGAAUUUUUGUAGUAAUUUAUAAAAUUCAAAAUCAUAGCUGUGGGGUGACCAAGGAAAUAGUUAUAGUUCCCACUUUUAGUUGGGACUUUUGAAUUGCUUUGCUCCUGAAAGGUAUGUGCCAUGAAUUGAGAGGAGGGAGGAGCUUACCAAAGAAUUUGAGAUGAAUAAAAUCUAACCUAGUCAGGACACAUUUACAGAAUUUUUUUUGUUAAAAAAAACUGUAGAAAUGAAGGCUUGUUAUUCUCAUUUCCAUUACAUAAAUGGUUGCUCAAAUGUGAAUUUCUAAUUUAUCAUAGUUUAUGGUGAUACAUUAAGAGACUAAUGUGUCAUUUGUGUUUUGAUUUCUACAUUCUAGAGAGACAGUUUAAUCAGUCCGUGACCAAAAUCAAACAGAGUAAACUGUGUCAUCAUGGAGAUCUGCCCAGGAAAUCCCCAAAAUACAGAAGGAUCAGAAGUAGAUGGAAAUAAUGUCAUAGAACGUCUCUCACAACUGUGUUAUAAGAAUGACAGGGAAGCUACAGGUUACAACAGAUUUGUGAACUCAGCCAAGCACAGUGGUGGCAGGGCCUAGCUGCUACAAAGAAGACAUGUUUUAGACAAAUACUCAUGUGUAUGGGCAAAAAACUCGAGGACUGUAUUUGUGACUAAUUGUGUAACAGGGUAUUUUAGUUCCUGUUCUGUGGAAAGUGUAAAGCAUUCCAACAAAGGGUUUUAAUGUAGAUUUUUUUUUGCACCCAUGCUUUGAUUGCUAAAUGUAAUAGUCAGAUCGUGACGCUGAAUAAAUGUCUUUUUCUAAAAAAAAAAAAAAAGAAUGACACAUAUUUGUUCUUCAUUCUUGUUUCACAUUAGUAGUGGCAUUUCUCAUGCUCUAUUUUCCGUGGCUCCACUAAACAAUAGAUUUUUCAAUGGAGACAAAACAGCCUUGUAUUGGAAGAAGACAUCAUCCAGGACUUUCAUAGCUAGGGACAAGAAGUCAAUGCAUGGCUUCAAAGCUUCAAAGGACAGGUCAACUCUUUUCUUAGGGGCUCAUGCAGCUGGUGACUUUAGGUUGAAGCCAAUGCCAAUUUACCAUUCUGAAAAUUCUAGGGCCCUUUAG